rnacentral:rRNA from 1 species
AGUGAACGCUGGCGGUAGGCCUAACACAUGCAAGUCGAACGGCAGCACAGUAAGAGCUUGCUCUUACGGGUGGCGAGUGGCGGACGGGUGAGGAAUACAUCGGAAUCUACUUUUUCGUGGGGGAUAACGUAGGGAAACUUACGCUAAUACCGCAUACUACCUACGGGUGAAAGCAGGGGAUCUUCGGACCUUGCGCGAUUGAAUGAGCCGAUGUCGGAUUAGCUAGUUGGCGGGGUAAAGGCCCACCAAGGCGACGAUCCGUAGCUGGUCUGAGAGGAUGAUCAGCCACACUGGAACUGAGACACGGUCCAGACUCCUACGGGAGGCAGCAGUGGGGAAUAUUGGACAAAGGGCGCAAGCCUGAUCCAGCCAUACCGCGUGGGUGAAGAAGGCCUUCGGGUUGUAAAGCCCUUUUGUUGGGAAAGAAAAGCAGCAGGUUAAUACCCCGCUGUUCUGACGGUACCCAAAGAAUAAGCACCGGCUAACUUCGUG